UCAGCUCGUGUCGUGAGAUGUUGGGUUAAGUCCCGCAACGAGCGCAACCCUCGACCUUAGUUGCCAGCAUUCAGUUGGGCACUCUAAGGUGACUGCCGGCUAAAAGUCGGAGGAAGGUGGGGAUGACGUCAAAUCAUCAUGCCCCUUAUGACCUGGGCUACACACGUGCUACAAUGGGCGGUACAAAGGGUCGCGAACCCGCGAGGGGGAGCCAAUCCCAAAAAGCCGCUCUCAGUUCGGAUUGCAGGCUGCAACUCGCCUGCAUGAAGCCGGAAUCGCUAGUAAUCGCGGAUCAGCAUGCCGCGGUCGAAUACGUUCCCGGGCCUU
rnacentral:rRNA from 1 species